UACGUAGGGGGCAAGCGUUGUCCGGAUUUAUUGGGCGUAAAGAGCGUGUAGGCGGCCCGGUAAGUCCGCUGUGAAAGUCCAGGGCUCAACCCUGGAAUGCCGGUGGAAACUGUCGGGCUAGAGUCCGGAAGAGGCGAGUGGAAUUCCUGGUGUAGCGGUGAAAUGCGCAGAUAUCAGGAGGAACACCAAUGGCGAAGGCAGCUCGCUGGGACGGUACUGACGCUGAGACGCGAAAGCGUGGGGAGCAAACAGG
rnacentral:rRNA from 1 species